rnacentral:lncRNA from 1 species
UGCCAUGGUGCCCUAAGCAAAGAGCUCCUAUAAAUGUUCACGUAUUUAGUUAUUUUUAGGUGUUUUUAAUUGUGUUCUUUUAGCAGCUGUUUUGUUUUUGAUAACGGAGAGUUUUUAAUGCAUUUAUCUGGUGUUUUUAAGCCACAAAUUUGCAGAUUGACUGACAGGUUAAAACUUUUUGGCUUGGCCAGCUAUCUUUUUUAUAUUUUUUAUGAAUCUGGACACAAUUCCGUCUUUUUUGUUUCACCUGGCUGCCAAUUCCUGAUCUUUUGAGAACAUAAGGGGUCGCCUGAAGCGUGAGAGGAAUGGAAGACAGAGGAACAGAGCAGUGCUGAGGCAGAGGACUCGUAGUGAGGACGACUGGCUAUUCAUCUGAACUCUGUGUGGUGAUCUUUCUGGCGCCCAGAGCUGCUGAGGAAUCACCCAAGUGGGUGUUACGCAGACUGGAAGAGGAGAAGUCCAGUGGCUGUAAGACUCAGGCUGGUUCCCAGACGUGCCCUCCUACAAGAUUAUCAGCAGACUCCAUCAAUAUCAUCUAGCAUCCUCUAUCUAGCUCCCUCCCCUCAAGCCAUGAACUGACCCUCUCUAUCUUCAGAGGAUGCAGCUUUCAAAGACUUGGCCUCUAUUGGUUGACCUGUCAUGAUAUAUUACUUGUUUGUUUGUUUUGCUCUUGAAGCUCUUAGAGAUUCUAUGAAAAGCACUAAAGAAAUGUAAUAAAUUAUAAUAAAUAUAAAUAAUGAUUAUUUAAUAAGUUCCAUGGUUGCUAUAGCACCGUGAGGUCGCCUAGGCAGAGAGCUCCUGUACAUUUUGUAAAUAUUUAAUCAUUUUUCAGUGUUUUUUUAUUUAUUAUUGCCAAUUGUGUCUAGAUUAAGUUUGGACUGCAUCUAUUUGUUUCCUGCCCGUGAAUUCACAGUAAAUCAUCUUUCUGAAGAUAGCUAGCUAGCAAUGCUACCAGGUUAGCUAGCUAGUGUAUUUUGAUUUGAAUACUUCAGCCUAUGUUUUGUUACUUCUACAGCUUCCUGACCCAAUGAAGAGAACUUCAAUGCAUGGCGAGCAGACCAGAGAGUCAACGGCGGGGUGGCGAGGCGCUGGUGAGGCGCCUUCAAUGAAGAGUGAACUGUGCUGCCUGCCAAUGGAGGACCUACUCAUCUCCCCCUGUUGACCUCUUCCCACUGCUCAAGCCAUGUGGUUCCAUAUGCUGUAGGCUUGAAACACUCAACUUUCAACUCUGGCCAAAAAUCAGAGUCCACACCUUCUCUAUCAUAAAUCCGUAUUUUUUCAUUCUUGUUUGUUUUGCUUUUUCAAGCACUUUGGAA